rnacentral:rRNA from 1 species
UACAGAGGGGCGAGCGUUGUUCGGAAUUACUGGGCGUAAAGGGUGCGUAGGCGGGUCUUUAAGUCAGGGUGAAAUCCUGGAGCUCAACUCCAGAACUGCCUUUGAUACUGAAGAUCUUGAGUUCGGGAGAGGUGAGUGGAACUGCGAGUGUAGAGGUGAAAUCGUAGAUAUUCACAAGAACACCAGUGGCGAAGGCGGCUCACUGGCCCGAUACUGACGCUGAGGCACGAAAGCGUGGGGAGCCAAACAGGGA